CUCUAGCAAUCAGACUUCAGUCGGAUUUCUCCAACAGAAAGUUUUCGUCCGGGCUUCUACAGCAGAUGACUUCCGUCUGUAGCAUCAAUGCCUAAGACACCCCAUAACAGUUAACCCAUCAGCAACCUCGGAAAUAUCUGAGCUUCUCUUAGAUUGCUGAGACAGAGAGCUAUUCCGCUCCACCAGACGUUCCAACCGAGCUUCAGCCGUCCGGCCCGAACUUCCCAGCAAGUCACGACAACGGACACCACUCCACUCUCUGUAACACACUCCACGUGGCCCCACCACUCUUUGGUAAGUCGCGACAAUGGACACCACUACUCUCCAUAACAAACUCCAUGUGGCCCCGAACGGCUCACUACCAGGC
rnacentral:lncRNA from 1 species